GGCUGUUGAGAAUGAUCUGGCUUCUACAUCUGUCACCCUACUGAUCAUCAGGGUUGGUUCUGCUGAUCUGGCUGGAUAGGAAUGUGUCCCCUUCCUGCCUCACAGCUCCACACCUGUCCUUCCUGAAGCCACUUGCUAAAUCAAGUGGAACUAGCUUGCUAGGCCAAGAGGAGCUGCCCUCCUCUGCUAGAACUUCCAAGCAAGCUCUAAAGGGUACUUUGAAGGGGAAUCUGCUAGAUUUGUAAUAAAAUAGUGUUUGGCCAUUUUAUAAUCCUAUUUUUCUAGAUGCAGCCAUUUAUU
rfam:Dipodomys ordii contig_40065, whole genome shotgun sequence.